GGGGUUGUAGCUCAGUGAUACAGCACAUGCCUCACAUGCACGAGGUACUGGGUUCAAUCUUCAGCACCACA
rnacentral:tRNA from 1 species